AAAUUUUGUGUGCAGCUGCCAUUAACACAACUGAUGAUUUAUGACAAGCAGUACUUGCUUAUUUAUAGAUCUAUACAUGAGGCAAGAAAGAAAGGAGAGUUGCUUGACGCUUGGUUGCCAUUGCAA